rnacentral:tRNA from 1 species
GGUCGAAUAGCGUAGUGGUUAGUGACCCUGACUGCUAUGCCGAAGGUCCCGGGUUCGAUUCCCGGCUGGGGCA